CUGCGGAGGGAUCAUUACACAAAUAUGAAGGCGGGCUGGAACCUCUCGGGGUUACAGCCUUGCUGAAUUAUUCACCCUUGUCUUUUGCGUACUUCUUGUUUCCUUGGUGGGUUCGCCCACCACUAGGACAAACAUAAACCUUUUGUAAUUGCAAUCAGCGUCAGUAACAAAUUAAUAAUUACAACUUUCAACAACGGAUCUCUUGGUUCUGGCAUCGAUGAAGAACGCAGCGAAAUGCGAUAAGUAGUGUGAAUUGCAGAAUUCAGUGAAUCAUCGAAUCUUUGAACGCACAUUGCGCCCUUUGGUAUUCCAAAGGGCAUGCCUGUUCGAGCGUCAUUUGUACCCUCAAGCUUUGCUUGGUGUUGGGCGUCUUGUCUCUAGCUUUGCUGGAGACUCGCCUUAAAGUAAUUGGCAGCCGGCCUACUGGUUUCGGAGCGCAGCACAAGUCGCACUCUCUAUCAGCAAAGGUCUAGCAUCCAUUAAGCCUUUUUUUCAACUUUUGACCUCGGAUCAGGUAGGGAUACCCGCUGAACUUAAGCAUA
rnacentral:rRNA from 1 species